rnacentral:rRNA from 1 species
UUUCGCAAUGCCCGAAAGGGUGACGAAGCGACGCCGCGUGUGGGAAGAAGGCCUUCGGGUUGUAAACCGCUGUUGGGAGUUAGGAAGUGUGGGAGUGUUAAUAGCGCUUCCACUUGACUAAAGCUCCAGAGGAAGCCACGGCUAACUCUGUGCCAGCAGCCGCGGUAAUACAGAGGCGGCAAGCGUUGUUCGGAAUUAUUGGGCGUAAAGAGCACGUAGGCGGCUCUGCAAGUCAGCUGUGAAAGCCUUCUGCUUAACGGAAGAACAGCAGUUGAAACUACAGGGCUUGAGUGCGGGAGGGGAGAGUGGAACUUCUGGUGGAGCGGUGAAAUGCGUAGAUAUCAGAAGGAACGCCGGCGGCGAAAGCGGCUCUCUGGUCCGUAACUGACGCUGAGUGUGCGAAAGCUAGGGGAGCAAACGGGAUUAGAUACCCCGGUAGUCCUAGCCGUAAACGAUGGGCACUAAGUAGAGGGGUUUU